GAUGAACGCUGGCGGCGUGCCUAAUACAUGCAAGUCGAGCGAACAGACGAGGAGCUUGCUCCUCUGACGUUAGCGGCGGACGGGUGAGUAACACGUGGAUAACCUACCUAUAAGACUGGGAUAACUUCGGGAAACCGGAGCUAAUACCGGAUAAUAUAUUGAACCGCAUGGUUCAAUAGUGAAAGACGGUUUUGCUGUCACUUAUAGAUGGAUCCCCGCCGCAUUAGAUAGUUGGUAAGGUAACGGCUUACCAAGGCGACGAUGCGUAGCCGACCUGAGAGGGUGAUCGGCCACACUGGAACUGGGACACGGUCCAGACUCCUACGGGAGGCAGCAGUAGCGAAUCUUCCGCAAUGGGCGAAAGCCUGACGGAGCAACGCCGCGUGAGUGAUGAAGGUCUUCGGAUCGUAAAACUCUGUUAUUAGGGAAGAACAAAUGUGUAAGUAACUAUGCACGUCUUGACGGUACCUAAUCAGAAAGCCACGGCUAACUACGUG
rnacentral:rRNA from 1 species